rnacentral:rRNA from 1 species
GCUUAACACAUGCAAGUCGAACGGUGACGAUGGAGCUUGCUCUGUCUGAUCAGUGGCGAACGGGUGAGUAACACGUGAGUAACCUGCCCCCGACUCUGGAAUAACCGUGGGAAACGACGGCUAAUACCGGAUAUGAGACGCACAGGCAUCUGUGGGUCUGGAAAGAUUUAUCGGUCAGGGAUGGACUCGCGGCCUAUCAGCUUGUUGGUGGGGUAAUGGCCUACCAAGGCGACGACGGGUAGCCGGCCUGAGAGGGCGACCGGCCACACUGGGACUGAGAUACGGCCCAGACUCCUACGGGAGGCAGCAGUGGGGAAUAUUGCACAAUGGGCGCAAGCCUGAUGCAGCGACGCCGCGUGAGGGAUGAAGGCCUUCGGGUUGUAAACCUCUUUCAGCAGGGAAGAAGCGAAAGUGACGGUACCUGCAGAAGAAGCGCCGGCUAACUACGUGCCAGCAGCCGCGGUAAUACGUAGGGCGCAAGCGUUGUCCGGAAUUAUUGGGCGUAAAGAGCUCGUAGGCGGUUUGUCGCGUCUGCUGUGAAAACCUGAGGCUCAACCUCGGGCUUGCAGUGGGUACGGGCAGACUAGAGUGCGGUAGGGGUGACUGGAAUUCCUGGUGUAGCGGUGGAAUGCGCAGAUAUCAGGAGGAACACCGAUGGCGAAGGCAGGUCACUGGGCCGCAACUGACGCUGAGGAGCGAAAGCAUGGGGAGCGAACAGGAUUAGAUACCCUGGUAGUCCAUGCCGUAAACGUUGGGCACUAGGUGUGGGGCUCAUUCCACGAGUUCCGUGCCGCAGCAAACGCAUUAAGUGCCCCGCCUGGGGAGUACGGCCGCAAGGCUAAAACUCAAAGAAAUUGACGGGGGCCCGCACAAGCGGCGGAGCAUGCGGAUUAAUUCGAUGCAACGCGA